rnacentral:rRNA from 1 species
UGGUGGAGUGAUUUGUCUGGUUAAUUCCGUUAACGAACGAGACCUCCUUCUCUUAAUACAAUGCUCAAAUUCGUUUGGGAACUGUACUUAGAGAGACUAUCGGAACCAAGCCGAAGGAAGCUGGAGGCAAUAACA